AUUGAACGCUGGCAGCAGGCCUAACACAUGCAAGUCGAGCGGAUGAAGGGAGCUUGCUCCUGGAUUCAGCGGCGGACGGGUGAGUAAUGCCUAGGAAUCUGCCUGGUAGUGGGGGAUAACGUCCGGAAACGGGCGCUAAUACCGCAUACGUCCUGAGGGAGAAAGUGGGGGAUCUUCGGACCUCACGCUAUCAGAUGAGCCUAGGUCGGAUUAGCUAGUUGGUGGGGUAAAGGCCUACCAAGGCGACGAUCCGUAACUGGUCUGAGAGGAUGAUCAGUCACACUGGAACUGAGACACGGUCCAGACUCCUACGAGAGGCAGCAGUGGGGAAUAUUGGACAAUGGGCGAAAGCCUGAUCCAGCCAUGCCGCGUGUGUGAAGAAGGUCUUCGGAUUGUAAAGCACUUGAAGUUGGGAGGAAGGGCAGUAAGUUAAUACCUUGCUGUUUUGACGUUACCAACAGAAUAAGCACCGGCUAACUUCGUG
rnacentral:rRNA from 1 species